GUUUGAUCCUGGCUCAGAGCGAACGUUAGCGGCGGGCCUAACACAUGCAAGUCGAACGCGAAAGGUCUUCGGACUGAGUAGAGUGGCGCACGGGUGAGUAACACGUAGGUAAUCUACCCUUUGGCGGGGGAUAACGUUCCGAAAGGAGCGCUAAUACCGCAUAAGACCACGGAGUCUCCGGACGCUGUGGGAAAAGGUGGCCUCUUCUUGAAAGCUACCACCGAAGGAUGAGCCUGCGUCCCAUCAGCUAGUUGGUAAGGUAAUGGCUUACCAAGGCGAAGACGGGUAGCUGGUUUGAGAGAAUGAUCAGCCACACUGGCACUGGAACACGGGCCAGACUCCUACGGGAGGCAGCAGUGAGGAAUAUUGGGCAAUGGGCGAAAGCCUGACCCAGCCACGCCGCGUGAGUGAUGAAGGCCCUCGGGUCGUAAAGCUCUGUGGAGAGGGACGAAAACCCUGGUUUCAAUAGGCUCCAGGCUUGACGGUACCUCUUUAGCAAGCACCGGCUAACUCUGUG
rnacentral:rRNA from 1 species